AUACGGAGGGGGCAAGCGUUGUUCGGAAUUACUGGGCGUAAAGGGCGCGUAGGCGGAUUGGUUAGUCAGAUGUGAAAUCCCCGAGCUUAACUUGGGAACUGCAUUUGAUACUGCUGAUCUAGAGACCGGGAGAGGAUAGUGGAAUUCCCAGUGUAGAGGUGAAAUUCGUAGAUAUUGGGAAGAACACCAGUGGCGAAGGCGGCUAUCUGGACCGGUACUGACGCUGAGGCGCGAAAGCGUGGGGAGCAAACAGGAUUAGAAACCCUUGUAGUCC
rnacentral:rRNA from 1 species